rnacentral:rRNA from 1 species
UACGGGGGGGGCAAGCGUUGUUCGGAAUUACUGGGCGUAAAGGGUUUGUAGGUGGCCCGCUAAGUCACACGUGAAAUCCCUCAGCUUAACUGGGGAACUGCGUGUGAGACUGGCAGGCUCGAGGGCAGGAGAGGAACGCGGAAUUCCAGGUGUAGCGGUGAAAUGCGUAGAUAUCUGGAGGAACAUCGGUGGCGAAGGCGGCGUUCUGGACUGUCUCUGACACUGAAGAACGAAAGCCAGGGAGCAAACGGG